rnacentral:rRNA from 1 species
UGAGGAAUAUUCCACAAUGGGCGCAAGCCUGAUGGAGCGACGCCGCGUGAAGGAAGAAGGCCUUCGGGUUGUAAACUUCUUUUUUUGGGGAUGACACACAGGUAGCCGCAAGGUAUACCAGUUAGGACAGUACCCAAAGAAUAAGCCUCGGCUAACUACGUGCCAGCAGCCGCGGUAAUACGUAGGAGGCGAGCGUUGUCCGGAUUUACUGGGCGUAAAGCGCGCGCAGGCGGCAUGACAAGUAAGGUGUGAAAUCUCCCUGCUCAACGGGGAAACCGCAUUUUAGACUGUCAAGCUAGAGGACGGUAGAGGGGGGUAGAAUUGCUGGUGUAGCGGUGAAAUGCGUAGAGAUCAGCAGGAAUACCCGUGGCGAAGGCGGCCCCCUGGGCCGAACCUGACGCUGAGGCGCGAAGGCUAGGGGAGCGAACGGGAUUAGAUACCCCUGUAGUCC